rnacentral:lncRNA from 1 species
AUGUCUCUGUGUCGGGCAGCUUUGCAGAGAUGUGGGCCUAUGGCUCGGCAUUUUCUCACAAAUUCACCCUUCUCUCACCUUAACAGAAAUGUGGUCUCUCGAAGGACCAUGUCAUCAGUCCCUGGUGGCUCCGGUGAGAACAUUGCUUACUUUCUGCUGUGCGGUGGUGCUCUUGCUGCAUCCGUCGCCUACACCUACUCAACCGUGACCUCAGACCAUGCCAGGUUUAUGGACCGCGUAACCGACAUCCAAUCCCGUCCCAAGGACGAAUGGAAGCCUAAACCAUGGCCACCCAAGAGUAGGGAUGAGGAUGAGGAAGGUGAGGGUGACGAGGAAGCAGCUGAAGAUGAGGAGGCUGCUGAGGGAGAUGAGGAGGCAGCUGAGGGAGGAGAGGAGGCAGCUGAGGGAGGCGAGGAGGCAGCAGAGGAGGACGGAGCUGUGGAGGCAGAGGCCGGAGAUGAGGUGGCCGCUGUGGCGGAAGAAGCCGAACCUGCUGCUGAGGCUGACGCUGAGGCUGAGGUCGCUGCGGAGCCCGUAGCUGCUGAGGAGGAGGAGGAGGCAGGGCCCGUAGAGACCGCAGUGGAGGCGGUCGCUGCGGAGCCUGUAGCUGCUGAGGAGGAGGAGGCAGCACCCGUAGAGACCGCAGUGGAGGCGGUCGCUGAAGCUGUUGCCGAGGCUGCCGAAGUCAUCGCUGAGGUCGCAGAGGUGGUUGUCGAGGCAGCGGAGGAGGUGGCGGCGGUUGCAGAAGAGGUGGAGAAGGUGGCACAGGAGGUGGAGGCAGCAGCAGAGGCUGUGGCAGCGCCUGAGACUGUGGAGGAGGCGCUGGCUGAGGCCAUGGAGGAGGAGCCUGCGGCAGCUGAGAGCAACGGAACCCAGAUGGAGGCGCUCUCUACAGUACUGAGCGCUGUGGCCCCGGCGGAGAUGGCCGCAGCCUCUGUAAUGGAGGUCAUGCCUGUGAUCCCUGCAGAGGAGGAGCCUCUCAUUGUGGAGGAGGUGAAGGAAGAGGCACCCGUCGUUCCUGAAGAAGCCCCAGCAGUAGCUGAAGAGGCACCAGCUGCUCCUGCUCUGGAGGAGACCCCAGCAGAGGUAGAGGCAGCACCCGCGGCUGAGGAAUCCCCAGCUGCAGAGGAGGCCGCAGCAGUAGAGGAGGCUCCCGCAGUUGAGGAAGCACCUGUGACCGAAGAAGCUCCAGCUGUGGUUGAGGAGACCCCACCUGCCCCGGCAGUUGAGGAGGCCCCUGCAGUUGAGGUGCCAGUGACCGAAGAAGCUCCAGCUGUGGUUGAGGAGGUUCCUGCUGCUCCAGCAGUAGAGGAGGCACCAGUGAGCGAAGAAGCUCCAGCUGUGGUUGAAGAGGUUGCUCCUGCAGUGGAGGAAGCACCUGUUGCCCCAGUGGUAGAAGAGGCACCCGCUGCCCUUGUGGAUGUCGAGGAGGUACCCGUUGCCUCAGUGGUUGCUGAGGAGGCACUAGUGGCUGUGGUGGAAAAUGGUGCCGUCAUCGCUGAUGAGGUAGCAGAGUCUCCUGCAAGUCCAGAGGUGGUUGCAGAAAGUCUGGUUGUGGAAGAAGUAGCAGCAAGUGUGGUUGAGGAGGUCGCAGCAAGUCCGGUUGUGGAAGAAGUGGCCGCAGUGCUGGCCGAUCCUGAGCCUGCUGCUGUUGAGGAGGCCCCGGCACCAGUGGAGCCCAAACGGGAGUACAUUAUGGUGGUCCUGGAGGGGUCCCCAUCAUCUGAUAAGAAGCCCAAGGUACUGGGGGUGUCUGCAAUGACUGGCAGGGUCAUCCCUGCCCCUGAUGAUGAUGAGCCAGUUGUCCAGGUAACAGGUAAUUCGACUCUAUGUACUAACUCGUGGGAGGGGCAGUGAUGGGAGGAAAUGGAUAUGACCUCACUUCCUUUUCUUCAUGCACUCAUCUGACUCAUGGGGGCUUUGCACAAAUAACUUUGUGGAUACUGCAUGUACUGCUGUCAUCUCUAGUGCAUGAUGAGAGUAUUUGCGUAGUUCAUUUCACACUGCAUGAAAAGUCUUCUGCCUCAAAGUUUAUUUACAUUUAAGUCUUUACAAUAUUGUGUAUUUCAUUUCAAGCAUUUUUUUUUCCUCAGGGAAAGAGGCGGCUGCUUAGAGUUCAAAUGCAGUAACAUCGUAUUGGUUCUGUAAGGUAAAUGCUUUAAUCUACAUUUCCAGAAAUUAAUAUUUGCCCUACAAAUUGCUUUUCUAAUAGGUCCGCCUCAUUCAGGAUUAAACAAAGUUAUGGUCUUGUACAUUCUUUACAAGCCUUAAGUCAUUACAUGGCUUAAUCAAUGCUGGUGCAAUCCUUUGUCAGGUGGAUACCUCCAGGCUUUGAUUGAUUUCAACUUAAGAAUUUUUGCAUUAAUGUCAGAGCUGAAGUCCUCUCUGAUGUGCUCUUUUAAAAGGACCUUUAAUCCCUGGAUGGUGAAGCCCUCCUCCCGGAAGAAGAAAAAAAAGGAUGUGCCUUUCCCCCUUAACACGACCUCCCAACACCAAACUUACUCCCUCAGCCCUUACUGCAGGAAGUUUUGAUUGGUGGUUUCUCCUGGUUCCUACGAUUACAACAAUUUCAUGCAAUUACUUGUACUGUAAACAUCCCCCAGUAGGGGAGCUGACUCUGCCAUUAACGGUCACAGAAAAUAUGCACAAUCUCUUCGUAAUACCACAAUUAUCACUGUUUAUAAGUCAGAACGUCGGUCAUGACAAUAGCCGCACUCCGUCUUUUCACUCCUUCAAAUCUCAAAUUUCAGAUCUUUCAUUCUCUUUGUAACUGACUCAUCUUAUGUCAUCAAUAUGAUGGAUCAGGUGAAACUAUCAACUGUAAUAUUUCUGCAACUUGUCACAUUUUGCAUAGUGGUGCAAAGUGGAUAGUGUAGUUUGCUUCUCCAGGAAUCUGUUAACACUAGGUAUAGUAAUUCAGGCAUCAGCCCACAUAGUGAGCAAAGUGGGAAGAAAUGGUCACCUGCCUCCACUUAGUAAAUGUUUACCACAUCCACUCUGUCCUGUACUGAGCCGAUCCCUGCAACUGUCCUUCAAGCUGUCUGCUUGGUAAUGGGCUUUGUUGGUAAUUGUGAUGAAUUGUUGAACAAACAAAAUGGUCACCUGCAGGGAAGAGGAGAGCUAUAGCUACAUUUCUAGUAGCACACUGGUUCUUCUUCAAAGUUAGUUUCAGCUUAGUUUGACCUACCUCAGCCCUCACUCUUACCAGGCCAUGUUUCCUUACCACAAUGCUACCUGUUACCAUGGCAAUUGGCUGCACUAGCUCCAGCAAAAACUGUCACAACAAGCUGCAAGAGAACCUUUCAGAGCCUCAGGCACUCUUCACUUUCACCAGUAUACACAUAAACUGAAAAAAAGUGUUAUUUAUGUAACAAAACUUGGCCAUAGGCCCACUACAGCAAUACACAACUCACGGCUGUAUUUUUAAAGAUUACUGGCUUGUUUGGGGAAUCAUGGACCUAAACUGUACCUCACUCCUUUGUACUUCAGCCCUUGAUCUUCCACUCCCUUCCUCCUGGAGCAAGCAGUGUUGAAACAUUUUCUACGCUUUUACCAAUUACAAACCAAUUAUAUUUCACCGAACACCAGCAGUAAUUUUUAUCAGGUCAAAAUCAAAUUCUUAAAAAAAAAAAAAAAAGAAGCCUCUUCUGACCGUUGCAUAAGCCCCAUAGAAUCACAGCAUGAAGCACUAGAAACAUAUACUGUGCAUGUGAUGCGGCGUAUGUAGCUUUACCAGCGUCAAGAUGACCUCAGAAUGGACACAGUCAGCUUUUCUGCUAGCAUUCUCGCAAGCAUAUCAACACCCUUCUGUCUUUCCACUGUUUUUGUUGCCCAAAUUGUAGCUUUCAAGUCCAUAGCUGCAAGAUAAUCCAUGCCCCAUCCCCACUGAGAUGGAUGUUGUAGUGGGUACCAUUACGGACAACAGACUGAUCUGUGCUUGAGUGGUCAAUUACAUUGAUCAUCCAAGCAGAUAGCUUGUUAGUCACAGUGUACUACUCUGUGAUUCAGCUGUGAUUUUUAUUUUGUUUUUGAACACAUUGGUAUGAUAAGGGAAUUUCAUGUCAAUUUAUUAUUUUUGCAUAGUCUUUCAGCUUGGCUUGCAGUGACUUGCAAUGAAAGUACCACACUUCAGUGUAUAUUUCGGUAUUUCAGCUUCUCAGUAGGAUGCUCAAAUAGCUCUGUGUAAUGUAUUAAAAUUACAUUUUGAAUUCAGUUUCUGGGCAUAAUUAAUUUUCAUGCUUAUAGUUUUUGCAAUGGAUCUUCAUGUUCCCUUUGUCUUUUAUUUCUAUAUUUAACAUGUUCAAAGAAAGGGACCCUGAAGUGAAUGUAAGAAUAUUAAAUGAGGUGUAGUUUUAUCAGUGUGUCUGUCCUUGUGUGUUCGCUCACUACUGUCUUUCCCCCCCUUUUUUGUAAAUGCCAGCUGGCAGGGCAUAUUUGAUAUAGAACCUUGUGUCGAUCUGUUUUGCCUAGCUGAUGGUCCACCAUGGUGGCCAUUUUACUGUGAAUGUAGACACAUUCUGUCUGUUUGAAAUAAAGAGGGAUGAAGAACUAAAAUUGAUUUGCUG